AUUUAAACUUCAAUUCAUCCCCAAUUCGUUUUUUUUUUUUUUCCUCAUCUGUGCACUUCACCGUACAAACUCAAUCGGCUACUUCUCACUGCACAUCAUCAAUUGGUGCGGCGCGACUAGGAACGUGAACUUUAAAUUCUCGCAGUUAAUUUCAAGUUCAAGUUACAGUUAUAUCGCUAGGGGCCCGCUCAAUGGGUCCAGGACUUCACAGUCCUUGGUAUGCCACAAUGCGAUUUCAUGUUACAGUUAGGGUUGCAACCUAUUCGCCAGGGGCCUGCUCAAUGGGUCCAGGACUUUAAAGUCCUUGGUAUGCCACCGUGCGAAUUUCAGUUAUCAGUACAGUGCAGUGCGUAUGUGUUGACCAUUUUAUUAACGUGGACAAUUAUUGCAUGUUUCCCACACUGAGUAUAUUUCAUAUGCUCAUCCCAUAUUUAAUA